rnacentral:rRNA from 1 species
AUUGAACGCUGGCGGCGGGCCUAACACAUGCAAGUCGAGCGGAUGAGAGGAGCUUGCUCCUCGAUUCAGCGGCGGACGGGUGAGUAAUGCCUAGGAAUCUGCCCAGUAGUGGGGGACAACGUUUCGAAAGGAACGCUAAUACCGCAUACGUCCUACGGGAGAAAGUGGGGGAUCUUCGGACCUCACGCUAUUGGAUGAGCCUAGGUCGGAUUAGCUAGUUGGUAGGGUAAAGGCCUACCAAGGCGACGAUCCGUAACUGGUCUGAGAGGAUGAUCAGUCACACUGGAACUGGGACACGGUCCAGACUCCUACGGGAGGCAGCAGUGGGGAAUAUUGGACAAUGGGCGAAAGCCUGAUCCAGCCAUGCCGCGUGUGUGAAGAAGGUCUUCGGAUUGUAAAGCACUUUAAGUUGGGAGGAAGGGCAGUAAGUUAAUACCUUGCUGUUUUGACGUUACCGGCAGAAUAAGCACCGGCUAACUCUGUGCCAGCCGCCGCUGUAA